rnacentral:rRNA from 1 species
AUUGAACGCUGGCGGCAGGCUUAACACAUGCAAGUCGAGCGGAGCGAGGGUGCUUGCACCUUAGCUUAGUGGCGGACGGGUGAGUAAUGCUUAGGAAUCUGCCUAUUAGUGGGGGACAACAUUCCGAAAGGAAUGCUAAUACCGCAUACGCCCUACGGGGGAAAGCAGGGGAUCUUCGGACCUUGCGCUAAUAGAUGAGCCUAAGUCGGAUUAGCUAGUUGGUGGGGUAAAGGCCUACCAAGGCGACGAUCUGUAGCGGGUCUGAGAGGAUGAUCCGCCACACUGGGACUGAGACACGGCCCAGGAUCCUACGGGAGGGAGGAGUGGGGAAUAUUGGACAAUGGGCGGAAGCCUGAUCCAGCCAUGCCGCGUGUGUGAAGAAGGGCUUUUGGUUGUAAAGCACUUUAAGCGAGGAGGAGGAUACUUAGAUUAAUACUCUGGGAUAGUGGACGUUACUCGCAGAAUAAGCACCGGCUAACUUCGUGCCAGCCGCCGCAGUAA